GAUGAAGAACGCAGCGAAAUGCGAUAAGUAGUGUGAAUUGCAGAAUUCAGUGAAUCAUCGAAUCUUUGAACGCACAUUGCGCCCCUUGGUAUUCCCUGGGGCAUGCCUGUUCGAGCGUCAUUUGUACCUUCAAGCUCUGCUUGGUGUUGGGUGUUUGUCUCGCCUCUGCGUGUAGACUCGCCUCAAAACAAUUGGCAGCCGGCGUAUUGAUUUCGGAGCGCAGUACAUCUCGCGCUUUGCACUCAUAACGACGACGUCCAAAAGUACAUUUUUACACUCUUGACCUCGGAUCAGGUAGGGAUACCCGCUGAACUUAAGCAUAUCAAUAGCGGAGGA
rnacentral:misc_RNA from 1 species